rnacentral:misc_RNA from 1 species
GAAAUGCGAUAAGUAAUGUGAAUUGCAGAAUUCAGUGAAUCAUCGAGUCUUUGAACGCACAUUGCGCCCCCUGGUAUUCCGGGGGGCAUGCCUGUCCGAGCGUCAUUGCUGCCCUCAAGCACGGCUUGUGUGUUGGGCCCUCGCCCCCCUUCCCGGGGGGCGGGCCCGAAAGGCAGCGGCGGCACCGCGUCCGGUCCUCGAGCGUAUGGGGCUUCGUCACCCGCUCGUGUAGGCCCGGCCGGCGCUCGCCGACACCCCAAUCUUUAACCAGGUUGACCUCGGAUCAGGUAGGGAUACCCGCUGAACUUAA